CUCUGUCUGAGCGCAUCAGGAGAGAUGUCACAACCAGAAAGCUAGAAGCCAUCGCAGAAGCAGGGAGCCACAGAGAUCAUUGUGAAGCCGGCAUGAAACAUUGAGGAGGCAAUACAGUUAAGCAACGGACCACGCUGUGCAGGCAUAACAUUGCUAAAUAUGUACAGAUCAGAAAGGGCUUCACAGAGCAAAGGAAGUAUCCUCAGCACCAUAUUCCAUAUGAAAACACUGAGACACCACGGAGGGAAAUCAAUGUGCUGUGUGACCACAGGCAAGUUCAGAACUCGUGUUUCCUGGCUCACGAGUCACUAUUAGUUCUCAUCAGACAGGCACUGAAUAUUGCUUCACUGCACAGAGACUUGGGACUGGAGCUCCUGUUUCCAAUUGUCUAAGUUUUUAGUGUUUGCCCACCACUACAAUCCACAAGCACAGCUUGAUUAUAAAAAUUACUCAAAUACAGUCAAAAUAUUUGCAAAGUACUUGAAGUCUGUUUUAUCUAGCUACUAACUAGCUAUUCAAUAGGUAUUCUCCUCCACCUUCAAUCUGUUCUGAACGGUUUCAGAUGAACUUUACUAUUCAUAAUAAAACUCAGCAGCAGA